UACAGAGGUCCCGAGCGUUGUUCGGAUUCAUUGGGCGUAAAGGGUGCGUAGGCGGCGGGGUAAGUCUGAUGUGAAAUCCCGGAGCUCAACUCCGUAACUGCAUUGGAUACUGCCUUGCUAGAGUACUGGAGAGGAAACUGGAAUUUACGGUGUAGCAGUGAAAUGCGUAGAGAUCGUAAGGAAGACCAGUGGCGAAGGCGAGUUUCUGGACAGUAACUGACGCUGAGGCACGAAGGCCAGGGG
rnacentral:rRNA from 1 species